AGUGAACGCCGGCGGUAGGCCUAACACAUGCAAGUCGAACGGCAGCACAGUAAGAGCUUGCUCUUACGGGUGGCGAGUGGCGGACGGGUGAGGAAUACAUCGGAAUCUACUUUUUCGUGGGGGAUAACGUAGGGAAACUUACGCUAAUACCGCAUACGACCUACGGGUGAAAGCAGGGGAUCUUCGGACCUUGCGCGAUUGAAUGAGCCGAUGUCGGAUUAGCUAGUUGGCGGGGUAAAGGCCCACCAAGGCGACGAUCCGUAGCUGGUCUGAGAGGAUGAUCAGCCACACUGGGACUGAGACACGGUCCAGACUCCUACGGGAGGCAGCAGUGGGGAAUAUUGGACAAUGGGCGCAAGCCUGAUCCAGCCAUACCGCGUGGGUGAAGAGGGCCUUCGGGUUGUAAAGCCCUUUUGUUGGGAAAGAAAAGCAGCAGGUUAAUACCCCGCUGUUCUGACGGUACCCAAAGAAUAAGCACCGGCUAACUUCGUG
rnacentral:rRNA from 1 species